GGCCGUAUGGUCUAGUAGUAUGAUUCUCGCUUUGGGAGAAUCGAGCCUUGAAUGCGAGAGGUCCUGGGUUCAAUUCCCAGUGCGGCCC
rnacentral:tRNA from 1 species